rnacentral:rRNA from 1 species
UUGAACGCUGGCGGCAUGCUUUACACAUGCAAGUCGAACGGCAGCGCGGGCUUCGGCCUGGCGGCGAGUGGCGAACGGGUGAGUAAUGCAUCGGAACGUGCCCAGUAGUGGGGGAUAGCCCAGCGAAAGCCGGAUUAAUACCGCAUACGACCUGAGGGUGAAAGCGGGGGACCGAAAGGCCUCGCGCUAUUGGAGCGGCCGAUGUCGGAUUAGCUAGUUGGUGGGGUAAAGGCUUACCAAGGCGACGAUCCGUAGCUGGUCUGAGAGGACGACCAGCCACACUGGGACUGAGACACGGCCCAGACUCCUACGGGAGGCAGCAGUGGGGAAUUUUGGACAAUGGGGGCAACCCUGAUCCAGCCAUGCCGCGUGCGGGAAGAAGGCCUUCGGGUUGUAAACCGCUUUUGUUCGGGAAGAAAUCCUCUGGGCUAAUACCCCGGGGGGAUGACGGUACCGGAAGAAUAAGCACCGGCUAACUACGUG